GAAGGSGGCUAGCGUUGCUCGGAAUUACUGGGCGUAAAGGGCGCGUAGGCGGCGCAUUUAGUCAGGCGUGAAAGCCCUGGGCUCAACCUGGGGACUGCGCUUGAGACGGGUGUGCUAGAGGACGGAAGAGGGUCGCGGAAUUCCCAGUGUAGAGGUGAAAUUCGUAGAUAUUGGGAAGAACACCGGUGGCGAAGGCGGCGACCUGGUCCGUUACUGACGCUGAGGCGCGACAGCGUGGGGAGCAAACAGGAUUAGAUACCCUGGUAGUCCACGCCGUAAACGAUGUGCGCUGGAUGUUGGGUGGCCUAGCCACUCAGUGUCGCAGCUAACGCGGUAAGCGCACCGCCUGGGGAGUACGGCCGCAAGGUUG
rnacentral:rRNA from 1 species